UCGUAACAAGGUCUCCGUUGGUGAACCAGCGGAGGGAUCAUUACUGAGUUUACGCUCUAUAACCCUUUGUGAACAUACCUAUAACUGUUGCUUCGGCGGGUAGGGUCUCCGUGACCCUCCCGGCCUCCCGCCCCCGGGCGGGUCGGCGCCCGCCGGAGGAUAACCAAACUCUGAUUUAACGACGUUUCUUCUGAGUGGUACAAGCAAAUAAUCAAAACUUUUAACAACGGAUCUCUUGGUUCUGGCAUCGAUGAAGAACGCAGCGAAAUGCGAUAAGUAAUGUGAAUUGCAGAAUUCAGUGAAUCAUCGAAUCUUUGAACGCACAUUGCGCCCGCCAGCAUUCUGGCGGGCAUGCCUGUUCGAGCGUCAUUUCAACCCUCAAGCUCUGCUUGGUGUUGGGGCCCUACAGCUGAUGUAGGCCCUCAAAGGUAGUGGCGGACCCUCCCGGAGCCUCCUUUGCGUAGUAACUUUACGUCUCGCACUGGGAUCCGGAGGGACUCUUGCCGUAAAACCCCCCAAUUUUCCAAAGGUUGACCUCGGAUCAGGUAGGAAUACCCGCUGAACUUAAGCAUAUCAAUAA
rnacentral:rRNA from 1 species